rnacentral:other from 1 species
AUGUCUCUGGGGUAUACGUUAGCAACCUGUUAUAUCCCUUGAGCCUUAACUACUGACUCUGGGAACAUAGCUGUCUGUACCGUGUGCAUUACCGCUUUGCGGGAAGCCUGACCUACAGACGCUGUUCCCACCUGAACCUACCGGUUCAAGGUCAGCAGUGUCAGCGACGGUAUUUUCGGAGACAUC